UGGAAAGGCAGUUACUUUACCAUGUCAUCAAAUUUAGGGUUUAUCCCAUUCCAAUACCAGGGAUUGUAUUUCCACAAACCCUUACAACUCCACAAAUUCCCCCCGAUCCAUUCUGCUAUCGAUCGCCAUAAGCGACGGAAUCGUGUUGGCUUGGGAAGAAGGAAGCUUCUAAUCAAGUCAAUGAAAGCCGUAAUACAGCGUGUGGCCUCUGCCAGUGUUGAGGUGGAAGGGUGCACGGUGUCGGCGAUUGGACCGGGACUGUUGGUCCUCGUUGGGCUUCAUGAAUCGGACGUGGAAUCGGAUGCCGAGUACAUAUGUCGCAAAGUGUUGAACAUGAGAUUGUAUCCCAAUGAGAAAUCUGGGAAAACUUGGGACCAAAAUGUAAUGCAAAGAAAUUAUGAAGUUUUAUUAGUAAGUCAGUUCACAUUGUAUGGCGUUUUGAAAGGCAACAAACCUGAUUUUCAUGUGGCAAUGCCCCCCGAGAAAGCAAAGCUUUUUUAUGCUUCUUUAGUUGAAAAAUUUCGUAAAGCUUACAACAUGGAUGCAGUUAAAGGUGAUAAUCACUGGCGGACCUACAAAGGAUUUUUAUUUUUUUUUAAAUUAUAAAAUCGUAAAUGGAGUAAUGAAAAAACCCUUCCGGUUUCCAAUUGAAAGAAUACCAAACCGUCUCAACUCCCAAAAUCCAAAUUCGAAUCCAAAGAAACCUAAUCCAAAUUGAAAUUCAAUGCAAGAAACCAUCCCACUCCCAUUUCAAUCCCAACUCCCAGCUCGGCGGCUCUCAAUUCCGAACUUUGAAGCAAAACCCAACAAUUUGAUCCACCCCUGCCGACAGUUCCUGACCCGACUCCCUCUGCCGGUGAUUCAACCACCUUAAACGGCAAAACAAGACAGCAAUACCGUGCUCCACUAACUUCAAAUGUCUGUGUUUGUCACUGGUGAUAAUUGGAUUCUACAACAUAUUGAGGACUUAUGGUGUAUUUGGAGCAAUGAUGAAAGUUAACUUGGUUAAUGAUGGUCCAGUGACAAUGCAGCUCGACUCGGCACAGUCAUCCAGGUGAGUGUGGACCAUUCAUAAUGAACUCAAGGGCUGCCGUGCCCAGCUGUGGGCCGGUCACCUGUAAAGAUAGUCUGCACACGCCCCUGGAGUGUCUAGGCCCAUGGCCCAUGCAGGCCUCUAUAUAGAGACUGAAGUUGAGGUCUCUGCAAAAGGUUGCAGAGAGCCGUUCUUUGUUUCUUAGAAAACUUAACCCAAAGUCCAAAACUAACAAAUGAUGGGCCCAGUGGCUGGCCUGGUUCAGCACAUCCCAGGCGUGGAAAAGCAUGACCCAGCCCCCGCAGGCCGUGCCUGCAGGCUGAACCAGGCCUCACGAUGGUCUGUUGUGCUGAGUACAGCUCUAUCCACACUAAAAUGUUUGACAGCCCACACGUCUUCAUGUAAUCAAAACUUGUAUAUGUACCGGUAAAUAGUAAUCACUGUCAACAAAUUUUUUCAGACUACCAAAAAUUGUGACCUUCACAUAGUAAGUGCCUAUGUAUUUAUGAUUACUUCAGGAACACCAGCGGCGCAGUUGAAGCACCAUAACUUUGUGGUGAUUAUUAAGCAAUGGACAAACAAAUGGAUGUCUGGUUGACUUGAAACAAGAACUUAGGGGAAGCCAAGAAAGAUGUGAACCCGAGAAGAGCAGUAAGAUUAGAACUUGAUUCAAUGUGAAAUUAUAUAUGGUAGUUUCUCAUAUUCCUAUUUGAGUUAAGAAUUAACAUGAAUAAUUGUGUACUUUUUUCCCUCUUGAAAUCUCGUGUAAAAAUCAUAUCCUUGUGACACGUAUGGCUUGUUGGACUA